GGGGCAGAGAGAGACACACACACACACAGAAUCUGAAGCAGGCUCCAGGCUCUGAGCUGUCAGCACAGAGCCCGACGCGAGGCUCGAACUCACAAACCGCAAGAUCAUGACCUGAGCCAAAGUCGGACGCUCAACCGACUGAGCCACCCAGGCGCCCCUAUUACAGAUAUUGUUAUAAUCAUUCUAUCUUGUUGUUGUUGCUACUCUUUUACUGUGCCUCAUUUGCAAAUUAAACUUUAUCAUAGCGUGUAUGCCCAGGAAAAAAUGUGUGUGUGUGUGUGUGUGUGUGUGUGUGUGUGUGUGUGUGGUUCAGUACUCUCUGAGGUUUCAAGGCUUUAUAAGUCGUCAUCGGGAUCUUGGAAUGUAUCCCUGGUGGAUGAGAGGGGACUUACUUUCUUGCCUCCCUGCCUCACCAGGAGGAAAACAGAAUAAAGGGAGAGACUGGCCUGCGAUCACUGCCUACCUGGCCUCCAUUUCCUCCACCCCACAAAAGGAGAAGCAUUAGACUUGCAGCCCGCUGUCUGCUCAGCAUCUCCCCACACGAUAGAGGCCCAGGGUUCCAUCCCUGAUCAAACUCCUUGUAUAUAGGAGCCUUUGUGAUUUGCCCCGGCCCACCUGUGCCUUGCCCAGGUCAGAGUCCUCGUUCCUUGUCGGGGGAAGUCUGGGCUCUCUCCCUGCAGACUUCACCUCCCUCCUCAGUGCCGCUCCAGGAGUUGUUCCCUGGGACCUGAAUGAUGGCUGAGCACGGAGCAGAGCACCCCAGUGGUCCCCCCGACUUCAUGACUGUUGUAGAUUUCCAGGGAGCUCCGGCUUCUCUCUCACUGGGAGUUGCACACGGGGUACUUGUCACCGUGAGUGGUCUUAGGUAGGAGUGCCUCAGCCAGCUCAGAUUCUGACACCUGGGUACCUAGCCAAACUCCCCUCCAGUCAAAGCUGAGGAUUCUAACCCUGGUGACCCCACCUGGUUGUAUUUCCACAGCGGGACCCUGGGGGACCCCUAUUGCUGAGACUUCUGGGGCCGAGCCCCUGGAGGCACCCAAGGACCUGGGAGCAAGGCAGACAGGUGUCCACCUCUUCCGGGUAUAGUUCUUCACCCAUAAAAGUCACUUUGUUGGUUCAUAAGGGCCGAUGCUGGUGAUAUGGACUGUCCCUAAGGUCUGCCUCCCUGGAGCGGUGGCUGAGGGGGAGGGUGAUAGCAGCCAGAUCGUAGCAUCCACAAACACCUGGCAGCCCCCAGGGAGCUGAGGCUGGCGUUGUUCCCCCACACUUCUGACUGGGGGAGGGCAGCUGGGGGCUCUGAGUGCAGUGACAUGGGUUUGGGGGGUCAUCAGUCAUCGUUCUAGGUGGUAAAGCCAUAGGGCAGGGCAGAAGCUCACACAGUUGGACCUAGAAUGGAGUCCUGGGGGUCCCGCGUGCAUUUUGGGGCUCUCCGUUGGGAACUGUGUGAGAGUGGAACGGGGUCAGCCGGCCCGCCAUGUUGGCAGUGAUGGAGUCACCGCAGCGUGGCCCCAACUCAGGAGUGUCAGGAGGCCAUGCAGGGACACCGGCUGCACUGACAUCUGCUCCCACUAGGGGACACCAGCGCACCACUCUGGAGGCUCCUCAGUGGGGUUUGCGCUCGCAAGUCCCUUGUCCCAAGCAGCCGAAGGUGUCCUUGCCCCCUUAUUGGUGCUCAACAUGCACCAAUGUCAGAAACGUGACCCAGGCCAAUGCUGAGGCCCUUCCUCCCCAGAACAAGGGAGAGAAUGAGGGGGUAAAGGAAGUGGUCACACAGAGGUGUAGGGAAGUACCUGUUUGACCCAAACGUGCCCCACUCUGAAAAGGUCUGACGUUUCUCGGGGGUCCUCCCCCUCCCCCGCAGGCCCCUGGGAACACAGGCUGCUCCCAGGUAGGCACGCCCCUCAGCCUCUAUCAGCCUCCCAGACAGGGAGGGUGCCUUCCUGUGGAAUGAGGGGUGCAGGCAGCAUUCCCUCCACACCAGAAAUCUUGACCUGGGCCUGCAGGGGAGGUGCCCAGUGGUGUGGGCCUUGGGCCCUCACAAAGCCUUGGCUCCUGCCCUUGGAAGAACAGACGCUGGCAGUCUGCACUGAAGGGAAAGGAGCUCUGUAAUCCGAGCCAAGUUAAACUUGACUAAGUUCAAUGUGAAAAGCAAGGGAAUGGACUCCGAAUAGGCCCGAGACCACUGCCCAGACAGCGCCCCAAGGCUCCGUCACCUUGAGCUGUGGUAACGUGCUGAGCAGUUUCUCCUCAGCGGCUCCUCAGGUGACGGAGCACAGGCGACCCCAAGGCCUCAGGACCCUGCAGACAUGCUGCCUCCCUGCUCCCCGCGCGGCCCUGGAGGCUUCCAUCUUCUACAAAACCCCAGUUGAAAGACCUUGUUCUUGAAUUAUCCUGCGUCUUGCCCAAGCCUUUCUUGCCAUAAGGACAUAUUGUGAUCAUUUUUCUCGAAUUCUGUCAGACAGACGUGAUGUCCACUGCCUUUUGUCCGACAAUAGGAACUACCUAAACCCAACUUACUUCCCUGCUUGCCUUCCUGUUAGGAAAUUUUGAAACUAAAUUCUGUGUCUGUCUGCAGUUAAUUAUGAGCUCACCGUGACCUGGUCAGGUCCCCUGCUUUGAUCCUCUGAUGACUGACCCAGUUUAGUAGUAGAUAAUGUAGAAUCCCACCAUUAUGAGGUCAGCAUGGCACACAGCUGAACAAUGAACAUUUAUUUCUACAUCAAGUGGGAUUUCGGGCCUCGCAGAUGUGCCCGAGUUUCUCCCCUACUGAGGGGCCCAGCAGAGCCAGGAAAGGUGAAGAGGGAGUUCAGGCCUCAUGAGUGUGUCCAAGGCGAUCUCUUCACAUAGGACCCAGAGAGGGGACCGACCAGCCAAAUUAGGGGACAGUGAGGCUUGGAGCAGGUGGCGCUGUUGCCGUUUGGAAACAGGGCUGGUGGGAAAGGGCCGCCCCACUGGAUCGAAGUUGCCGUAGUAGUCCAGUUCCCAGCCCUCCAGAUGGGAAGGAGUGACUUUAUUGUUCCCUAGAGCUAUGCCAGCUCCGUUGCUAAGUCUUCUGGAAACUUCUAGGAUAUGCUAACUCACAGGCCUAAGGAUUAUUAAAAUAACCCAAGAUGCUGAGGAACAGUCAUAUGAAAGCCAACCCCGCUUGGAACUCCCAGACCCGUCAUCCUCACCAAGGGCUACUUCAUGUCCCCUCCUGGCCCCACCGGAGGACCUUCGACAGGGAUGGCAAAGUGACCCACAGAGCAAGUGCAGCCCUCCAGCCGGUUUCUGCAAAUAAAGUUUUAUUGGCACGCCGACCACCUCAAUGCUCACCGUGGCUGUAUUUGCACUACAAGGUAGAGUUGAAUAGUUGCCAUGAGACCCUACAGUCUGCAGAGCCUAACAUAUUUACUGUCUGGCCCUUUACCGAAAAAGUUUGCCAAACACUGAUCCAGAACGUACACAGCAAAAAAGCCUGAGAGUUGGGGCGCCUGGGUGGCUCAGUCGGUUGAGCGUCCGACUUCGGCUCAGGUCAUGGCCUCGUGGUUCGUGAGUUCGAGCCCCGCGUCGGGCUCUGUGCU